AGUGAACGCUGGCGGUAGGCCUAACACAUGCAAGUCGAACGGCAGCACAGUAAGAGCUUGCUCUUACGGGUGGCGAGUGGCGGACGGGUGAGGAAUACAUCGGAAUCUACUUUUUCGUGGGGGAUAACGUAGGGAAACUUACGCUAAUACCGCAUACGACCUACGGGUGAAAGCAGGGGAUCUUCGGACCUUGCGCGAUUGAAUGAGCCGAUGUCGGAUUAGCUAGUUGGCGGGGUAAAGGCCCACCAAGGCGACGAUCCGUAGCUGGUCUGAGAGGAUGAUCAGCCACACUGGAACUGAGACACGGUCCAGACUCCUACGGGAGGCAGCAGUGGGGAAUAUUGGACAAUGGGCGCAAGCCUGAUCCAGCCAUACCGCGUGGGUGAAGAAGGACUUCGGGUUGUAAAGCCCUUUUGUUGGGAAAGAAAAGCAGCAGGUUAAUACCCCGCUGUUCUGACGGUACCCAAAGAAUAAGCACCGGCUAAAUUCGUG
rnacentral:rRNA from 1 species